GACUCUCGGCAACGGAUAUCUUGGCUCUCGCAUCGAUGAAGAACGUAGCAAAAUGCGAUACCUAGUGUGAAUUUGCAGAAUCCCGCGAACCAUCGAGUUUUUGAAUGCAAGUUGCACCCAAGGCCUUUUGGGUGAGGGCACACCUGCUUGGGCGUCA